rnacentral:lncRNA from 1 species
AUUUAGGAUUUGAUUUAGGAUUUGAUUUAGGGUUUAAGAUUUGAAUUAGGAUUUGGUUAGGAUUUAAUGAGGGUUUAAUUUAGGAUUUAGGAUUUGGUUAGGAUUUGGUUUAGGAUUUGGUUAGGAUUUAAUUAGGGUUUGAUUUAGGAUUUAGGGUUUGAUUUAGGAUUUGAUUAGGGUUUGGUUUAAGGUUUAGGAUUUGGUUAGGGUUUGAUUUAGGAUUUAGUUGGGAUUUGGUUUAAGGUUUGUUUAGGAUUUGGUUUAAGAUUUAGGGUUUGAUUUAGGGUUUAGGAUUUUAUUAGGGUUUAAGAUUUAAUUAAUUUUGGCCUAAAAUUUUAAUGAAGUUCAAUAGGAUUUUAACUAGAAUUAAAUUAAGAUUAAAUUGAGAUGUAUUUGAAUGAUAUUUGUGAUCAUUUUAAUA